GAUGAACGCUGGCGGCGUGCCUAAUACAUGCAAGUCGAGCGAACAGACGCGGAGCUUGCUCCUCUGACGUUAGCGGCGGACGGGUGUGUAACACGUGGAUCACCUACCUAUCAGACUGAGAUAACUUCGGGAAACCGGAGCUAAUACCGGAUAAUAUAUUGAACCGCAUGGUUCAAUAGUGAAAGACGGUUUUGCUGUCACUUAUAGAUGGAUCCGCGCCGCAUUAGCUAGUUGGUAAGGUAACGGCGUACGAAGGCAACUAGGCGUAGCCGACCUGUGAGGGGGAUCGGCCACACGGGAGCGGAGACACGGACCAGACGCCUGCGGUGGGCAGCAGUAGGGAAUCUUCCGCAGUAGGCGAAAGCCUGACGGAGCAACGCCGCGUGAGUGAUGAAGGUCUUCGGAUCGUAAAACUCUGUUAUUAGGGAAGAACAAAUGUGUAAGUUGCUAUGCACGUCUUGACGGUACCUGAUCAGAAAGCCACGGCUAACUACGUG
rnacentral:rRNA from 1 species